AGAACACUGUAGACCUGCACCAGGCUGGGAAGAGUGAAUCUACAAUAGGCAAGCAGGAUCUGGGAUGGAGCGUGAGGGACCCCCAGAGCAGAACCGGUCUGAAAACCGCACCAUUUACAUCAGU